CCCAUACCAAGGAAAAAAGAUGGCAACCCUGCUGCAAAUUGUAUCAAGGGGAAUGUGCAGUGAGAAUCAUCACCAGAAACGUGACAAGCGACUUACCAUGUGGAUGAGUCUUCAGCAGGUGCUAUAAGACACUUCCACACUUAUCUUGGAGCAAGCCCCACUGAAUACAUCACAAGCAACAGCAAGAGCUAUCCUGGGCACUGAAAUCCCAUACCUGACCACUCGAAAUCAUAUACAGCAACUUCUCAAACUUUUGAGGUUUCACCAGGCAUUGCCUGCAUAUUUUCAAGCAUAUCUUCCCAAUCACAGGGCUAGAAACUUCUUUUUUGAAAUGAAAGCUAAGAUGCUUUAAAAGCUGAAUUCUGUUCCCAAAACCACAUUCAGUCUUUUCUGCAUAUAUAUGGAAUCAUGACAUAGAGAA